rnacentral:lncRNA from 1 species
UGUACCUGAUUGAUUAUUUCAGACUCUGGUUGAGUGCCAUCCAGCAGGAAUAAAUACUCACACUACUUUGAACAUGCCAGAAUGUGUCUCUGAAGAGGCUCGCUCACUCAUACAACAGAUGAAGGACUGCAACAACACCAGGAUGGAGAGCAGGUCACCAGGAUCAAAGCGCAAUCAAGAUGACAUCAGUCCCUGGAACUGGGUUUCAACUCACCAGCCCCCCUGGCCUCAUAACAGGAACUCGUGCAGGUGGCCGGUGACCAGAUGACCAGAUGACCAGGAUCUAAU